rnacentral:lncRNA from 1 species
AAGGGGGUGUGGAGAGCUGAGCGCAGGACUGGCGCAGUUACACUUCUCCCUCCAUUCCCGCAUGCCCCCCAGCAAAAUGGAGGUGCAGAAUUCGGUUCCCAAGGCUGUGAGAAGUUACCCAGUAUUUGCAAUUUGAAGUACAAGAAAAGAAAAUCCGAAACCAGUUGCAAUUCUGAUAGCAGCGAGGGAAAGAAACGUACGAAGAGCUUGUUUGCUGUGGUUCUCUGUGGUGCGUGGUACCCGCCCACCACUGGUCAGACCCUCGCCCUGCUCUCUGAUUCUGUUUGUAUAAAGCAGCUAUAGGUGAGAUGUAGAUUUGGCCUGACCAGAGUUUAGCAGCUGACAGCUAAGUUAUAUCGGGUGUCAGGCUCGGAGUUAUCAGCUCUCGUCUCAUGCAACCAAAAUAAAUACAACAGCUGGAGUCCCUGGACACCUUGCUUAAUUUAAACCCAGUCACAGUUUAAGUUCGUUAUGUCAGUGAUGCACAUGUCCCCUUUUCUCAUCCUGAAGCCUGCCUGCUUCUCUGAUUACAGCCUAGCUCUCUUCUCUUAACUCCCCGCCCCCACCCCCAGCUUCAUCACCCAGAGCUCAAAAGCCCAGGAUAUAU